CUGAAGACCGGCGCAGAGCCAACGCUAAAUUUGCCGCAACGCAGCUUUGACAGAGUAAAGUUGCCGCGCAAAUCACCAGCCUACAGGGCUCCUCCUGUUUUAAAUCAGCUGGUGCAACUGGACUCGGUCAGCACUGGUGCGGAAGCCAGCCAAGCACCAUCCAGCCCAAAAGAGCCAGGCAGUG
rnacentral:lncRNA from 1 species